AUAUAUCUAUGGUUCCCAUUAAGUCUAACUACCUUUCAAAUGAAUCUCUACCAUUGGAUCUUGCUGAAAUCAAAUCCUGACCUUCUAAACUCACAAUAAUAACUGCUAUGGUAGCAGUUGACGGCAGUUUCUUACGGUUCCCCUCUGGCGGUUACUUCCACUUUUUUCUGCCCAUCAUCUCCACAACUCAACCUCCUACAAAACUAGGGUAGUGCUCACAAUUCCAGUUCGCCCGUUGGUUGUCUCAGGUCUCCUCCUCACCCAUAAAACUGUCACCCCAUCUCCACAAAACAACAUGCAAAAGUGGAGAGAUUAGAGGUCAUCUUCUCCUUCACACGCCGUAUGCACCUCACCCGUCGCCGUCGGUACAAUCAACGUCGUUCUAAAAGUUCAAGACGUGAUUUCAAAAGCAGAUAAUGGUCCCUCAGUCUUCAUCUACCUCUCCCUUUUGUCUGAAUCCCUCUCCUCUGAAUCAAUCGAAGGAAGUGUUGAAGGAUGAUGAAGAACAAUAAGUGGGCACUACAAGAACAGGCGCUUUUUGAAAUGCUACAGGCUCUAAGAGAAGCCGGGAUGCUGAACUUCAUAAUUUGUCUGAAAUACAUAAUUCCUCAAGUUUAGGCAGUCGGUAUUCUCUUAAUUAUUAGUGUUUACAUUUAGCAAUUUGUUAAUUUGUAUACAGUAGGUAGUCUUUGUUCAAUAUAGGCACUCAGAAGUUUGAUGAAUAAAGUUUCGGGUAAUUUAAAAAAUUCCGAAUGAUUAGGUUACAGGUCAGUUAUGCCUGACCUGUAUUUUCGUGGUUCUUUUUUAUUAUGUUACUUAACAAUGGUAUUAAAUAAUCUUCAUAACGUCUUAGCAGUUCGGUGAUUCCUCAAUUCAGGUUUAAUUAUUGCUGAAAUUUCUAUUUCUGUCAACGCAGAUUUACUAUUUGUUAUACUUUAGGUGUAACUGCAUUCAAGUUUUCCUUUUUAGUGAGUGACCAGCGAUUAAAACAUCUGAAGCUUGCUAUUCGACACAAGUUGUGUGUUAAUCAAGGGUGUCUACAAGUUCCGUUGUCGAACAUAGCUUCUGUACUUUGAUCAUAUUGUUUUGUUGUUAACAAUGGAAACCUCACUUAUAUGAAGUUAGACAGGAGUUGAAGCGUGGACCAUCUAUCAAAUAAGCUAUUUAUCAGCAACGGCUACAUGUGCCAUUGAAUAAAGAUUUGAAUCUUCUGGUGGAUUUAUCAAGUCGCUCGCCUGUGACGUCGAUUGGACGAAUCACCCUUUGGUAAGCCAUGUGCAAUUCACAGGCUUCUGGUGCAAUGAGAUCUCGUGGAGCUAGGGUUACUGAUAACAUAAUUAUCAUAGUGUUUGUAGAUGACGUGAUAUGUCCACAAACAACUAAGGCCAUGCCAAAUCAGCCCGAGUGCCAAUAAUUUUUGCUAUUACUAGGAUAGAUAAGGAAGGGGCUUUAGAUCGAGUAAUGCAAGUUAAGCAGGAGCUUUCUUAUAAUGGUUGUCAACUAGAAGAUUGGGGGUGGUGAUGUACCUAUGGUUCAGCAAGAAUGUUGAUGAUUUGUUAGAACUCACUAUGCGUGUUGCCGAGCUAGGUAAAGUUAUUUACUGACUAUUGCAUGUAAAUUAUUUAUUUACCUUUUUUUUGCUUGGGGGAGAAGAGAGGGUUACUUUCAAUCCAUUUGGCCCGCUUCGCAACUAUGCGGGUCAAAUUUUAUCUAAGGUAUGUAGCACAUCUUUAAUAAUAUACAACUUUAAUUACUUGAGAUACAAGUCAAUAAAGGAGUUUGCUCAAGAUUUAGGAGCAACGGAGUUGUUGCUCGUGUAAAGGUAUUUAAGUUUAACUUCAUUUAUAUGUAUAUAUUAUUUGGAGGUUCUACAUUUGUCUUCAGUUUUCUUGAUUAUUAGCUGCAAGAAUUAAAGGCUAAUCUCGAUAGAAAUGCAAAGGUUAUCGUAAUUGAAGCAGGUCUCAUCAAUCAAAAGGACCCGUAGCUACUUUAUUUUUUUUGCAAAAUGACACACUUAAAAAGGGAGAUGUGGUUGUAUGUAGUGAAGCCUUUGGAAAUGUUGGUAAAAGAAACAAUAGUUAAUUCAGCAAAAUACUAUUUUAAAAAUCUCAGACUUUAAAACAUUUGCACUUUGAUUAGAUUCAUCUUUAUUUGAUGGCUCAAAAGCUAAACUUUACAUUUUUAGGUCUGAGCUUUAUUUCAUGAUGCUGGAAAGCAGGUUUGAUGAUGUUGGGCUGGCAAUACCAGUACAAGUGAAUUUAGCUACAAUUAUUUGGUUCUUGUCUAUUACAACCCAUAAUAAAAAUUACACAUCCAACCCGACCCGUUUGACCCGCUUUAACCCAAAUCCAUUUGACCUGGCUCAACCCACCCAAUUUGACCCACUAGAAAUUGAUCUGUUCCCAAUUCGAUCCUGUUUGUGUUGUCAAAAUGAACUGUUGUAACCUAAAUCCAUUUGACCCUUGUCAACUUGAGCCCAUUUGACCUGUUUCAACCCAAACCUGUUUGACCUAUUCAAGAAUUGACCCGUUUAAACCCGACUCUAUUAGACUCAUUCAUGAUUUAGAUAAUGAUUCAUUUCAACCCGAAUCUUUUUUAGCUAGAAAAGAUUACCUUUUUCAACUUGAAACACCUCUGACCCUGUGUAGAAAUGCAUACUUUGCAGGUGAUCGGAUUAAACAGUGUCCCAUUUGCGGUGACAAAUUUAAGGUAGUUGACUCACUUGAUAUUGCACGAGAAAGGGCAAAAGAACGGGCAAUCAUCAUGUGAUGAACGUAUACUAGCUAAAGCUGGAACGGUAGAAUUACGCUUUCGUACUUCGCUUCUGUUGUUACAACGGGCAUGAAUUCAAGAGCAACUGCUUUGUUUAUGUCGAUCGGGUCGAGCAACAUGUCAAAACAUGUUAGGGCUAAAAUGGGCAUUUCUUCUGUACAUCCUGAAAUGGGUUGGGUUGGUUUGACUCAAACAUGCUCUUUGCAUUGUUUUUAUUUAAGAAAUAGGUAUAGUGCCAAAUAUGAUCAUAAAACUAAAUUAAUUCAGCAAUAAUCUAAUUUUAUUGAAUCGUAGGUUUUAUUUAUUUCAAAUGACACUUUGGUGGACUUUUGAAUCUUUCACCCAUAUGAACAUUCUUUUUUAGACUAUUUUAUUUAUUUUUCCUUUCAGAGAUAAGCAUAAUCCUAUUUAACAUUUCACCCUAUUUCUAAACUUAAGUAAACGGGUCCAUUGUUGCCUUAUGAUUAUAGAUGAUUGUUGAGUGAAGACCUUUCUCUUAUUCUCUUUUUGAAUGAGCAGGAUAGACUUUUAGCCAUUUUCUAGAUCAGCAUCCUAUUGUACUUCAUAUUGGUGGGAAUAACUUGGAAAUUCUAGCAAAGCAACUCAACUAGCAAACGGAUACGGUUAUUGAUGUUGUUUUCCGCAGUGGUGAUGAAUCAGAGGAUGAUAAUCGGUUCAGACUUCAGAUGUAAUACAAAAAACUCCACCGUUCGUGACAAUAUGAGCUUAACUGGCCCAUCUUCACGGUUACAGAUGAUAAGGAUAUACGAAGAGUCGGGAUGGUAGUUAGAGAUUGAGAGACUCUGGGAUACAGUUUUGAGAGGAUGUCAUGCUGAUGACUUAUGAAAAUAGGAAGAAAACUCAUUUAAUUUCCCUUAGCAUUAGUUACUUAAUUCUAUUACUGUUAGAUAAUUUUUAUCUUUGUAUUAUAUUUGAAUUGAAUGAAUUGAAUGAAUGAAUGAAUUUGAAUUGAAUUGAA